UAUGCUUAGGGCUACAGACGUGCUACAAUGGGUAGUACAGAGGGUUGCCAAGCCGUAAGGUGGAGCUAAUCCCUUAAAGCUACUCUCAGUUCGGAUUGUAGGCUGAAACUCGCCUACAUGAAGCUGGAGUUACUAGUAAUCGCAGAUCAGAAUGCUGCGGGGAAUGCGUUCCCGGGUCUUGUACACACCGCCCGUCACACCACGGGAGUUGGAGACGCCCGAAGCCGAUUAUCUAACCUUUUGGAAGAAGUCGUCGAAGGUGGAAUCAAUAACUGGGGUGAAGUCGUAACAAGGUAGCCGUAUCGGAAGGUGCGGCUGGAUCACCUCCUUUCUAAGGAGA
rnacentral:rRNA from 1 species